AGAAUGGCAAAUGGAAAUCACCUGUAAUUGCUAAUGAAGAACCAAAUGUUCCUAUGUGGAACCCUGUGCUGUUUAAAACUCCUUCAAAUGUGUUACUGCUAUUUUAUAGAAUAGGCCUUGAUGUUCAAAAGUUAGUGUUGAGCAUCAUAGUCAGCCUUUAACAUGAUUUUGAUAUCUGCAGGAAAGAGCAACUCAACAGGACAUGCAUUUAUCGCAAGAAAACUCGGCGCGGAUCUUCAGCAUUCAUGGAAAAGGAGAUACCUUUUACAGGAAUAUUAAGCAAUAAGGCUGAACAAAAUCUAGGUUUCCAUUCAAUUGAACUACUUUGAUU